UACGAAGGGGGCUAGCGUUGCUCGGAAUCACUGGGCGUAAAGGGCGCGUAGGCGGCCGAUCAAGUCAGAGGUGAAAGCCCAGGGCUUAACCCUGGAAUUGCCUUUGAUACUGUUUGGCUAGAGACCGGAAGAGGUUAGUGGAACUGCGAGUGUAGAGGUGAAAUUCGUAGAUAUUCGCAAGAACACCAGUGGCGAAGGCGGCUAACUGGUCCGGUUCUGACGCUGAGGCGCGAAAGCGUGGGGAGCAAACAGG
rnacentral:rRNA from 1 species